rnacentral:misc_RNA from 1 species
AGAGAUCGCUACCUGCAGGCCCUAAACAACGCUAUACAGUUCUCAACAAAAGUAACAACCAAACAAAUUGUAAAUGAUGUCUCUGAUGCCUGUCUACUUGUGAUAAGGUUGUUAAUGAACUUAGAUCUAGGAAGUCUUGGACCAUCUCCAAUGAAAACCAGAUCAGGAAAGGCUCAGAAAGAGAAGAAGGUUGAGAUGGAAAGGGACCAGGAUUCAGUUCAUCAGUUGGUCAUUGAUUCAGUUCAGUCAAAUCUGAAGGAUUUUCUACAGAAAAAAAAACAGAAACUUCACACAGAAUUCUUCUACAACAUGUUUAGCAAGUUUCCUGUCUUGUUUUGGCCAAUCACAGAAACCCUUCUGACCACAAUGCAGGAUGAUCAAGCCAAGGUCUUCAUGAAGACUCAAGCUUGCUACCUGUUGUCAGGGAUGCUGAACAAGGAUGUUGAAAAGAAUAUAGGGGAGGAAACAUGGAAUGAAUUUUCCCUUUCUCUGAUAGCUGGCAUUUCAAGGAUAAUGCGAGGUAUUACCAAGGAAGCUUUUCCCACCAAACUGAUACAUGAUGUUUGUGUCACCAUGAGGAAGUACCUGUUCAGCUCCCAGAAACCUCUGGAAAUAUCAUCAGAGAUCACUGAAAAGUUGGAGAGUCUGCGAGGUUCCUUCAACACUGACAUCCGCAAAGAGUACAAUAUGAUGAUGGGGAAACUUGGGAGGACAGCUAACUUGAAUCAGAAUAAACAGGCCAAGAAAAGGAAAAACAAAGAAAAGGUAGCUUUGAGUGCUCAGACACCUGAAAGCAAGAAAGCCAAGCAGAGUCAAAUAGAAGACAUUGCGAGUCCUGUUGUUAAAAAAAAGACUAACAAGGGAAAGCAGACUGUGCAUGGAACAGUGAAGCAGGGGUCCCAAACAGGGAACUCCAGCUUUGAGUUGGACCCGAAAGCAAGCUUGAAAAAGAAAAACUCUGAAUCAAAUACCCCAGGGGGUAGUGGCAAGUCUAAGAAAAAGAACUUCAACAAGAAAAAUGACUCCAUUACUGAAUAAAGCUGUUAAGUUUGAAAUCAG